rnacentral:rRNA from 1 species
GACGAACGCUGGCGGCGUGCUUAACACAUGCAAGUCGAACGGUAAGGCCCUUCGGGGUACACGAGUGGCGAACGGGUGAGUAACACGUGGGUGAUCUGCCCUGCACUUCGGGAUAAGCCUGGGAAACUGGGUCUAAUACCGGAUAGGACCACUGCCUGCAUGGGUGGUGGUGGGAAGCUUUUGCGGUGUGGGGUGGGGCCGCGGCCUAUCAGCUUGUUGGUGGGGUGAUGGCCUACCAAGGCGACGACGGGUAGCCGGCCUGAGAGGGUGACCGGCCACACUGGGACUGAGAUACGGCCCAGACUCCUACGGGAGGCAGCAGUGGGGAAUAUUGCACAAUGGGCGCAAGCCUGAUGCAGCGACGCCGCGUGAGGGAUGACGGCCUUCGGGUUGUAAACCUCUUUCAGCACCGACGAAGCGCAAGGGACGGUAGGUGCAGAAGAAGGACCGGCCAACUACGUGCCAGCAGCCGCGGUAA